AUAGAAAAAGCAGCUUUUAGCACUGAAGACAAGCCCUAAAGGAGAUCCUGACAAGCAAUCUGUCUUGGGGGUAAUUUCCAGAUGGAUCCAGUGCAGAAACCACAUUCCUGAAACUAGUAGAUGAAAGCAUGGCAGCUGACAAAGCUUAAAUUUGUGACUCAGGCAAAUCUGUGUUUACCCAGGAGCAAGGACUGGAGCUCCAGCCUUCCAGGGAGUUUAUCACUCACCAGGUUGCUAACAUUAUGCUUUGAACAAAAUACCAGUGCCAGCAGCUUCCAGCAAAUGGAAAGUCACCAUAAAAAAAAAUGGAUAUCCAGUCCAUUGGCCAGCCAACAUACCUGCUCAGCUACAAGCAAGAAAGCCAAGCAGUUGGCCAGUUCCCAAAGAAGCUGGCCAGGCUGUGAGCCCAUCAGGCAGUUAUACCAUUAGCCAGGCAGCCAACUUGACUGACUUCUGACAAAAGCUUUCCAAGUAGCAUUGUGUCUCCAGG
rnacentral:lncRNA from 1 species